rnacentral:lncRNA from 1 species
GAUGAGACAGCCUACAGGGAGGAGGUGAGGGCCUUGGGAGUGUGGUGCCAGGAAAAUAACGUCUCACCCAAUGUCAACUAAACUAAGGAGCAGAUUGUGGACUAAAGGAAACAGCAGAGGGAACACCCCCUAUCCAUAUCGACGGGACCGAAAGCUUUAAGUUCUUCGGCGUACAUAUCAAUGACAAACUGAAAUGGUCCACCCACACAGACAGUGUAGUGAAGAAGGCGUAACAGCGCUUCUUCAACCUCAGGAGGCUGAAGAAAUGUGUCUUGGCCCCUAAAACCCUCACAAACUUUUACAGAUGCACAAUUGAGAGCAUCCUGUCAAGCUGUAUCACUGCCUGGUAUGGCAACUGCACCGCCCGCAACCGCAGGGCUCUCCAGAGGGUGGUGCGGUCUGCCCAACGCAUCACCGGGGGCAAGCUACCUGCCCUCCAGGACACCUACAGUACCCGAUGUUACAGGAGGGCCAAAAAGAUCAUCAAGGACAACAACCACCCGAGCCACUGCCUGUUCACCCCGCUAUCAUUCAGAAGGCGAGGCAAGGUCAGUACAGGUGUAUCAAAGCUGGGACCCGAGAGACUGAAAAACUGCUUCUAUCUCAAGGCCAUCAGACUGUUAAAUAGCCAUCACUAGCACAUUAGAGGCUGCUGCCCUAUAUACAUAGACUUGAAAUCACUGGUGUGAUGCACGUCAUAGAGAGGAGACCAAAGUUCAGCGUGGAGGAACCAAGGACCAUCGACAUGGAAAAAGAAGAAGAACAAAAGGGAGAAGAAGAAUGCUAAUAAAAGGAAAAUAUGGCUGUCUCGAAUGUGGGAAGCCAGGUUAAAAGACAGCAGAUUACCCACACGGGAAAGCAGCCUUACCACUGCUCUAUGUCAAAUCAAAUCAAAUUUUAUUUGUCACAUGAGCUGAAUACAACAGUAAAAUGCUUAAUUACAAGCCCUUAACGAACAGUGCAGUUUUAAGAAAAUACGCACUACCCUCUAGUGUCUUGCGGUCGGAGGCCGAGCAGUUGCCAUACC